CCCUAUGGGGUGCAGCAGUCGCGAAAACUCCGCAGUACGCGAAAGCGUGACGGGGCUACCCCGAGUGCCGUCCGCUGAGGAUGGCUUUUCCCCGGUGUAAUGAGCCGGGGGAAUAAGGAGAGGGCAAGACUGGUGUCAGCCGCCGCGGUAAUACCAGCUCUCCGAGUGGUAGGGAUGAUUAUUGGGCUUAAAGCGUCCGUAGCCGGCUUAGCAAGUCUCCUGUCAAAUUCAGCGACCUAAUCGUUGAGCCGCGGGAGACACUACUAGGCUAGGAGGCGGGAGAGGCCGACGGUAUUCUCGGGGUAGGGGUGAAAUCCUAUAAUCCCGAGAGGACCACCAGUGGCGAAGGCUGUCGGCUAGAACGCGCUCGACGGUGAGGGACGAAAGCUGGGGGAGCGAACCGGAUUAGAUACCCGGGUAGUCCCAGCUGUAAACGAUGCGGGCUAGGUGUUGGGGGUGGCUACGAGCCACUUCAGUGCCGCAGGGAAGCCAUUAAGCCCGCCGCCUGGGGAGUACGGCCGCAAGGCUGAAACUUAAAGGAAUUGGCGGGGGAGCACCACAAGGCGUGAGGCUUGCGGUUCAAUUGGAGUCAACGCCCGGAACCUUACCGGGGCGACAGCAGAUGAACGCCAGAUUAAACGUCUGCUGGACAGCUGAGAGGUAGUGCAUGG
rnacentral:rRNA from 1 species